CUACGGGUGGCACCAGUGGGGAAUAUUGCACAAUGGGCGCAAGCCUGAUGCAGCCAUGCCGCGUGUAUGAAGAAGGCCUUCGGGUUGUAAAGUACUUUCAGCGGGGAGGAAGGGAGUAAAGUUAAUACCUUUGCUCGUUGACGUUACCCGCAGAAGAAGCACCGGCUAACUCCGUGCCAGCAGCCGCGGUAAUACGGAGGGUGCAAGCGUUAAUCGGAAUUACUGGGCGUAAAGCGCACGCAGGCGGUUUGUUAAGUCAGAUGUGAAAUCCCCGGGCUCAACCUGGGAACUGCAUCUGAUACUGGCAAGCUUGAGUCUCGUAGAGGGGGGUAGAAUUCCAGGUGUAGCGGUGAAAUGCGUAGAGAUCUGGAGGAAUACCGGUGGCGAAGGCGGCCCCCUGGGCGAAGACUGACGCUCAGGUGCGAAAGCGUGGGGAGCAAACAGGAUUAGAUACCCGCGUAGUC
rnacentral:rRNA from 1 species